AACUUUUGGCAACGGAUCUCUUGGAUCUCGCAUCGAUGAAGAACGCAGCGAAAUGCGCUAAGUAAUGUGAAUUGCAGAAUUCAGUGAAUCAUCGAAUCUUUGAACGCAGCUUGCGCUCCUUGGUAUUCCGAGGAGCAUGCCUGUUUGAGUGUCAUUAAAUUCUCAACCUUGUCAGCAUCUGUCUGAUAAUGGCUUGGAUGUGGGGGGUUUGCUGGCUCUGUCAGCUCCCCUUAAAUGCAUUAGCUGGUGCCCUGUAUUGGUGUGAUAAUUAUCUACGCCAUGGAUUAGCGCCGCUUCUAACCGUCCGUUCAUUCGGACAAUACAAUGACAAUUUGACCUCAAAUCAGGUAGGACUACCCGCUGAACUUAAGCAUAUCAAUAAGCGGAGGCU
rnacentral:misc_RNA from 1 species